GAUGAACGCUGGCGGCGCGCCUAACACAUGCAAGUCGAACGGUUAAAGCACCUUUUAGGUGUGUAUAAAGUGGCGAACGGCUGAGUAACACGUGGGCAACCUGCCCUCCUCUUGGGGAUAGCCUCGGGAAACCGAGGAUAAUACCCGAUACUUCAAUGUGGCCGCAUGACGACAUUGAGAAAGCUUUUGCGGAGAAGGAUGGGCCCGCGGCCUGUUAGCUUGUUGGUGGGGUAGAGGCCUACCAAGGCAAUGAUGGGUAGCUGGGUUGAGAGACCGACCAGCCAGAUUGGGACUGAGACACGGCCCAGACUCCUACGGGAGGCAGCAGUGGGGAAUCUUGCACAAUGGGCGAAAGCCUGAUGCAGCGACGCCGCGUGCGGGAAGAAGGCCUUCGGGUUGUAAACCGCUUUCAGCAGGGACGAGGCGAAAGUGACGGUACCUGCAGAAGAAGCCCCGGCUAACUACGUGCCAGCAGCCGCAGUAAUACGUAGGGGGCAAGCGUUAUCCGGAUUCAUUGGGCGUAAAGCGCUCGUAGGCGGUCUGUUAGGUCGGGAGUUAAAUCCGGAGGCUCAACCUCCGCCCGCUCCCGAUACCGGCAGACUUGAGUUUGGUAGGGGAAGGUGGAAUUCCUAGUGUAGCGGUGGAAUGCGCAGAUAUUAGGAAGAACACCAGUGGCGAAGGCGGCCUUCUGGGCCAUAACUGACGCUGAGGAGCGAAAGCUAGGGGAGCAAACAGG
rnacentral:rRNA from 1 species